GACGAACGCUGGCGGCGUGCUUAACACAUGCAAGUCGAACGGAAAGGCCUGCUUUCCCUUGUGGAUUGCGGGUACUCGAGUGGCGAACGGGUGAGUAACACGUGAGUGAUCUGCCCCCAACUUGGGUAUAAGCCUGGGAAACUGGGUCUAAUUCCCGAUAGGACUGCAGGGUGGUGCCUGUGGUGGAAAACGAUUUUCUAGUGGUUGGGGAUGAGCUCGCGGCCUAUCAGCUUGUUGGUGGGGUAAUGGCCUACCAAGGCGGCGACGGGUAGCCGGCCUGGGAGGGUGGACGGCCACAUUGGGACUGAGAUACGGCCCCGACUCCUACGGGAGGCAGCAGUGGGGAAUAUUGCACAAUGGGCGGAAGCCUGAUGCAGCGACGCCGCGUGGGGGAUGACGGCCUUCGGGUUGUAAACUCCUUUCGACCGCGAGGAAGCCACCUGGUUGGAAGGGUGGUGACGGUAGUGGUAGAAGAAGCACCGGCUAACUACGUG
rnacentral:rRNA from 1 species